UACGGGGGGGGCUAGCGUUGUUCGGAAUUACUGGGCGUAAAGCGCACGUAGGCGGCUUUACAAGUCAGGGGUGAAAGCCCGGAGCUCAACUCCGGAAUUGCCCUUGAGACUGUAUCGCUUGAACACGGGAGAGGUGAGUGGAAUUCCGAGUGUAGAGGUGAAAUUCGUAGAUAUUCGGAAGAACACCAGUGGCGAAGGCGGCUCACUGGACCGUUGUUGACGCUGAGGUGCGAAAGCGUGGGGAGCAAACAGG
rnacentral:rRNA from 1 species